GUCUACCGAAAAUAUAAGAUUUAAAUUAUAUACGCAAUCAAUAAUUUCUGUGAUGUUACUUUUAUUUCCGUUACAUAUCUAAUUUACGAGUACAAAAUAGUAAAACAGAAAAAUAGAAACGAUAAAUAUUCAGGAAUACCUAAAGUUUCGUAAGCAAUUGCAAGGUAUCACACGUUACUUAGAUUCCACGAGUUUUCAUAGCAAUUAGCAAUUUUUAAAACGAAUAUGUGAGAUAAAGAUCUACUGCAUUU
rnacentral:lncRNA from 1 species